rnacentral:rRNA from 1 species
GACCAGACUCCUACGGGAGGCAGCAGCGGGGAAUAUUGCACAAUGGGGGAAACCCUGAUGCAGCGACGCCGCGUGAGCGAUGAAGUAUUUCGGUAUGUAAAGCUCUAUCAGUAGGGAAGAAGGAGGACGGUACCUGACUAAGAAGCCCCGGCUAACUACGUGCCAGCAGCCGCGGUAAUACGUAGGGGGCAAGCGUUAUCCGGAUUUACUGGGUGUAAAGGGGGCGCAGACGGCAGCGCAAGCCAGGAGUGAAAGCCCGGGGCCCAACCCCGGGACUGCUCUUGGAACUGCGCGGCUGGAGUGCAGGAGGGGCAGGCGGAAUUCCUGGUGUAGCGGUGAAAUGCGUAGAUAUCAGGAGGAACACCGGUGGCGAGGGCGGCCUGCUGGACUGCGACUGACGUUGAGGCCCGAAAGCGUGGGGAGCAAACAGGAUUAGAUACCCGCGUACCA